ACUCCGCUCACCCCCUCCUAUACAGGGCUCUUGGUUCAGGUCUCUUGGUUCGUCCUGCUGCAAGUUGGGAAGAAAGAUAAUAGGAAUGCUAAUUCCUUCUUGAUGAAACGACCACAACACGCUGGAGCCGGCCUUGGACCCUACGUUUCAAGAUUGGCCUGCUUCCAGCGUCUGCCAGCUCCACUGCACAAGCUGCGGCAGCCGCUGUCCCCGUUCGCUUCCACGGGAGUCCCAGCAAGACUAUGCGACCCAGUUCAAAUACCAUCUUCCAUGUACCGUUCGUGAAAUCAGCAGCUUUUGACAUUCAAGAGAGGACAGAUUACUUAAAAACAGACUCAUGAACAAAUAGGGAAACGAAUACAUCAUCCCUGUAUCGAAUUCAUCCCUGUAUAAUCCUGCCCUUACACCUGUGCUCCUAUACAAGAUUAACAUUCAAUACUCGGGAGGCUGAAGCAGGAGAAUUGCUUGAACCCGGGCAGCAGAGGUUGAGGUGAGCUGAGAUCGCACCAUUGCUCUUCAGCCUGGGCAGCAAGAGCUAAACUCUGUCUCUAAAUAAAUAAAUAAGACUUUAGGUAAGUUAUUUGUGAUUACUAUACAUGAAAUUGAUCAGAAGUCUAACAAAUGAUUGAGGUAAUCCUGUGUCCCUAAAAUCUCAAGCCUGGUUAACAACAGUCUCUUGCUGUUGGGCCCUGUGGUAAUCUCUGAACCCUGGAAUUCCUUCUAACAGGGAGUAGGAUGCAAAAGGUGUGCGUUCUGCACAAGUAGAGGAAAAAACAAGGGUGCGGCUUCCAGAUUCUCCAACUGAGAACUUAAUACACUGCCACCAAAGAAACUGCAGUUUCUUUUGUUUAGAGAAAAGGUCUUGCUCUAUCACCCUUGCAUUGGAUGAGGGUGACCUCAAUGGGUUGCAUGUUCUAGGCUCCCCUGUCAGCUGGGAUGGGGCUUUG
rnacentral:lncRNA from 1 species